CCUUAUGGUUGUAAAGCACUUUAAGCGAGGAGGAGGGUACUGGUAUUAAUACUACCAGCUACUGGACGUUACUCGCAGAAUAAGCACCGGCUAACUCUGUGCCAGCAGCCGCGGUAAUACAGAGGGUGCGAGCGUUAAUCGGAUUUACUGGGCGUAAAGCGUGCGUAGGCGGCUAAUUGAGUCGGAUGUGAAAUCCCCGAGCUUAACUUGGGAAUUGCAUUCGAUACUGGUUAGCUAGAGUGUGGGAGAGGAUGGUAGAAUUCCAGGU
rnacentral:rRNA from 1 species